rnacentral:misc_RNA from 5 species
AGGAUCAUUCACACACAUCCAAGCGAUUCUCACGUGCAUACACCAGUGAGGGGGUGUGCGCAGGGGUAUUGUACAGCCCGUGCGUUCGCCUCCGCGGGUGAUCGCGCGGAAGCGGAGCUCAGUCUCUCGCCUUUCGUGAGGGUCACCACCCUUUUUGAGACUCUAUUCGAGCACGCAUCAUUCAGACGAUUCCAACCUACUACAGUGGGUAGUGAACACAUUCAGAACUUUCAGCGAUGGAUGUCUCGGCUCAAACAACGAUGAAGGGCGCAGCGAAACGCGAUAUGCAUUGUGAAUUGCAGAAUUCCGCGAACCAAUGGAACUUUGAACGCAUGUUGCUCUCUCAGGUAUUCCUGAGAGAACGCUCGCUUCAGUGUCUCCUCCAUCUGUGCUCCUCGGAGCGUGUUUGUGCGCUAGGGCGGGUGGGGCUUGUCCUCACCGACGCCUUUGGCGCAGCGAAUGCCGCAAAUGCACGCUUAAUAGCUUCGCUCGGAAGUCUAUUUGUGCAGCUCGUCUCGAAAGGGUACGGCUCUUU